rnacentral:rRNA from 1 species
GAAUAUUGGACAAUGGGGGGAACCCUGAUCCAGCCCUGCCGCGUGUGUGAAGAAGGCCCUUUGGUUGUAAAGCACUUUAAGCGAGGAGGAGGCUACUCUAGUGAAUACCUAGAGAUAGUGGACGUGACUCGCAGAAUAAGCACCGGCGCACUCUGUGCCCGCAGCCGCGGUAAGACAGAGGGUGCAAGCGUUAAUCGGAUGUACUGGGCGUAAAGCGCGCGUAGGUGGCCAAUUAAGUCAAAUGUGAAAUCCCCGAGCUUAACUUGGGAAUUGCAUUCGAUACUGGUUGGCUAGAGUAUGGGAGAGGAUGGUAGAAUUCCAGGUGUAGCGGUGAAAUGCGUAGAGAUCUGGAGGAAUACCGAUGGCGAAGGCAGCCAUCUGGCCUAAUACUGACACUGAGGUGCGAAAGCAUGGGGAGCAAAC